UUUUUUUUUUAAUUCAUCCUUCAGCCUUAAACAGAAUAUUCUUCCUGCAGGCUCUGUGUUCUGCAACCCAUCCUAGGUGUGAGGGCACUCUCUUGCACCUCCCCCAAUAGCCUAAGUUUACAUAGGAACACCCCAGAUUUUAUGCACACUCCAGUGUCUUUUAAAAUUGUGCUUAGGAAAUUACCAGACAAAGGUGCCUAAGAAUUUGAGAUAGAUAAGGGCACAGGUGAAAUGCAGAGACAUAGACCAGAUAUGAGUGCUGAAGACCCUCCACCACCUCACCUCACGGCAGCUGCUUUUUACUUUCCUUCAAGCAAUUAACUUCAACUCAGAGAGCAGCUGCCGAAUGUCUUGAGUGUGCCAUCUUGGUCACCCAGGUCACUGAGCAUCAGCCAAGUCUCUGGUGGUCUAGAGAAAGCUCCAGCCUGGUCUCUGAACCCCAAGUUCAAGGUGUACCUGCACUGAUUGGUACUGGACUCCCCAUCCACACUUAUCUCGUCCUAAUGUAAUUUAUUGGCAAUGCCACACAACAGCAGGCCCUGGUGUUAUACAUUUUUUUGGAAGUUUCCCAUUUAUGCUAAAAACGGGGAAAAAGUCACUUGGCGAAUGCAAUCUUUUUGUUUUAAAUGCUAGAAGACAGGUGAACAGAAAGUGGUUCUGAUACUGUGUCUAAACAAAGCUUUAAUGAAGAUGUGUAUGUUGGAAGUAUUAUGAAAGUGUGAUUCUAAUUUUGCAGAAAAAAUGUCUAUCAAUUUAUAUAGCUUUAUUUUUACCUUAUCAAAAGAUACAGAAUUUUAAUAUACAGAUAUUGUCUGACUUAAAAUCAUGUGUGUCUACAUUACCACUUAAAAUGUCCAUUUACAAUGUAAUGUAUGAACAAGAGAGAAUCUAAGAUGUAUUUAACAUGAAUGGUUACCUGUAGCUAUCAUCGUCAUAAGUACUGAAUUUGUUUUAAAUUAUCAAAUAUAGUAAGUACACUAAACAUGUCAUUCUCCAACACUAAUGUUUAACCGAUAGCCCAGUAACCUGCUUUGAAAAAUUAAAUUGUGAAUUAAACCAGAUCAAACGUCUAGUGAGGUUUUUUUUCUGUGUGCUGAUGAUGAUUAUGCCUUUGAUCCCUGCGGGCAGUCCUGAUGCUCCACACCUCUGUUUUCAUACAAAUGUGUGUGGUAUCCUGUAAGGUGCACACACACUUCUGCUAACAGAGACCAUGGUUGACUUCUGUUUUCAUACAAAUGUGUGUGGUAUCCUGUAAGGUGCACACACUUCUGCUAACAGAGACCAUGGUUGAAACUCUAAGCACAGAUCUGUUGGGGGUGGUCAUAUUGAUGGGUAUUGUGGAAAACAGAAUUUCUUAGCUUUAUUGAAGGGGGCAGGGGCAAGGUAGUGGUGUGAUGGGUACUACACUUCUUUCUAUCCCUGAGCAUAGGGGGUGGCCAUCCUGAAAGCCUGAAUGUAAAACCACACCAUGACAGCCCUGGUCCGAGGCCUGGGGCACAUGUUGAGUAG
rnacentral:lncRNA from 1 species